GGAGAUCACUCUUCUUGGGGUCUUCUCAGCAAGCCCAGGACAGGCAGGCAUUCUGAACUCAUGCAUCUCCAAGGAGCUCUGAGCAUUCUGGCCAGCCCUGUACUGGAGACAUGGGACAACUUAAUCCCUUUUCUCAAGCAGAAGCAGCACCUCAGGUGCUUGAGGCGUUUAAAGGAUGCUUUUCCCUUUCCCAGGCAGAUGCCACUUCCAGCUCACCAAAUCGUACCCCUAAAAGCAGAGGCAGAACUACAAAAGUUAUAGCAUUGUAGUCAUGCUGGCUUGCUGACACAGGGAGGAGGUACUACCUAGAAAAUGCCAGCAAAUGGUGAGAAAGAAUGGAUCUUCCCUCCUCAAGUUUAGCAAGAAAUUGGGAGCAGGUGACUUGGAUGUGGACCAGCCCUCACAUGAGUCAGCAUGGGGAGGUGGGUGAAUAAAGGGGACUUCUCAAACCCCUGGUCUCUCAUUGCCUAUUGAUGAUGGAGCCUUCAAAUCCACCAACACCUCCUGGGAGAGCGAUACAGCAGCAUGGAGUUGUUCCGUUCUUGAGGUGUGUUGGGAUAACAUCUCAUUUCCAAUGAUUUGGGGAAGGGUACUGGAAAAGCUGCUACUUUGGCUUUGAUUUGGGCUAACAAAGAACUGCUUGGGGAAAAAAAAAAGAGGGGGGGAGGAAGGUAAUUUCAGGCAACAAAUCACAAAAUAAUGGAGUGCACAGCGCCAAGAGAAAGGGAGUGAGAACAGCAGAAUGAGGAUAAUGGUCUGCAAAAAAAAUCUCUGGGAACUGGUUGGUGACAUCUCUAGGGAAGAUAAUCUGAGGAAUAAAGAGAGUAUAGGGAAGGUGGCAAUUACCUAAAGUGACUGCAUUAGGGCACCAAAACAAGCCAUCUCAAUGCAGAGGGACAAGAGGAAGGUGGCUCAGAGACCUGGCAGAUGUGAGGCCCUAAAGGAGUUGCAGAGAAAGGGACCCAGCGAUGAGGAGAGCAGAUGCAGAAAUGCAAGCAGAACAAGAUCCAGUAGGCCAUCAGUUUAAUGGCUGCGAAAAACUAUUUUCUAAGUGCAUGGGAAGGAGAACGAGAGAUAAGGAGAGCCCAAGCUCUUUGCUUCUUGAAUGGAGGAGAGCCAAGAGUUGCAGUGCAGGAACCCUGUGUGGGCUGAGCUUCAGCCCUCCCUCCCAUCCAAUUCAUUAGGACAGGGUAAUUGCACCAGGCUCCAAUCCAGCCCAGAGGAGAGCAUCCUCCAGGGCAUUUAGAGUCAAGUGUGCUCCUGUUAGCAGGGCAUGCCUCAGGCUGCCUUCACAGAGCUAACCCAACUUCUGGGGCAUGCAGGGUUUCUCCAAGUCCUGCAGGAGCAUAGUGGUCUGGGAGCACCAUGGUGGGGCUGUCCAAGGAAAUCACCUGCAGGAACUCAAAAAUGGCUAUUAAUGGGACCGAAGGAAGGGCUGGGGACCUCGUGCUGAGCUUCAGGUGGAGGUGAGUGAAUCAGAUGCUCUGCCUCAUCCCCUGCAGUUGUGCCAGCAUCACUGCAAGCUGAUGAGCUCACUUGUGUGUCUGUCCCAGCCAGUCGCUGCCACGCAGUGCAGCCCACAGAGGCCAUCCCUGCCCUACAGCCGUGCUGCAGCCACCAGCUCGUCCCAAUCACUGUCAUCUCCAGUGCUGGCAUUCCUCAUCUUUAUCCACGCCAUGGGCUGCCCCCCAUCCCUGUCUCUUGGGUUCAGAGACCUGAAGAAAACCUCAGGCUUUGCUCAGGGCUUGUUUUCCAUCUCUUCUGCCCCUCUCUUCAUAUUGCAGCACAGCAUCCCUGCUGCCCAUCACCUCUGCGCUGUGUCCCCAGGGACCACAGUUCUGCCGUGCUCUUUGCAUGUCUGUGUUUGUCUUAGUGGUUGACCCCUUCAGUUGAUAUUAGCCUCCCGGUCACCUCCACCACUGCCUGUCACAGCCAAUUAGAAAUACAGUCAUCUCUGCAUCAUGGUCCUCGUUAAACCAACCGUUCCUUCUACCUGCUGCAGUCGUCACCUCAUUAUAACUCCAUUACCUUUAACAACAACUCCAUUACCAUCCAUUAUCUUUCUUAUCAUCUCCUUUACAAGGCUGUUAUCUGCACCUCCUCCUCUCCAGCUAUCCCCUCCUCAAUUACGAUACCAUUAUCUUUAUUACCACCCCAUUAGAGUCAUAAUUAUUCCCAUUACAAUUCCAAGAUCCGUGCCUCCAUCCAGACACCCCGUUGUCUCUUGCAGCCCCAUUACCACCACCAGCACUGCUCCUGGUUGCCUCCCUUAGCACUAUAACCACCUCCCUCCCUGCAUUCCUAAUCAUCCCCAUGCCGACAGCCAUCUUUUAAUUAUUUUUCAUUACAGUUUUAUUGUGUUUUGCUGUUAUGACUUCCUUUACCAGCCAUUCUGCUGGAGUGCUGUGAUUGGGAUCAGUACCUGGGUGGGAGCUGGUGCUCAGGUCCGUGGUGUUAUGACACUACACUGACUACCACUGGUUCUGUGUGGGUAUCUUUCACCCCAUCCUCCAUCAUAAUUCCAGCAUUUCCACAUCUGCUGUAGCCUAAUUACUGGCAUUUUCCUUCCACCAGCCUCCUGCUCAUCCCCAUUGCAGCUCCUUGAUGGGCACAGCCCCUGCUCCAGCCAUCAGAGCCCCUCUCCUCCUGCCUAGGCAGAGCAGCCUCCCCAGCACUCUCUGAUUUCCCAUGCCUACAGCUGGCAACAGCUCCAGGUACAGUUUGAUCUCUUCAUUAACCCCAUUAUUGUAGGGGAAGAAGUACCAACUUCCCCAUACUCCCAACUUUCCCAAAUUCCCAUGGUGCAGCCCUGAGCACUGCAUCCCAUUGGUGCUCCUCUCCGUGUAGCUGCUGUGCUCUGGGCACUGCCAAAACCACUUGCCUGUGACCACAGCACCAACACCUUCCCCAAACCACCCCAUUCCCUCAGGGAUGAUGUUGGAAGGUUCUUCCAUCAGCACUGAUAGGAGGGAGAGUUUCUUGCUUGGCAUCGGCGCCACAUCUGUGGUUUUUGGGGUCUGGCAGUGCUGUAUCUCUCUGAAUCUCAUGGGAAUGUUUCAGAGUAGAGCAGAGUUUCUUAAGAAGUCUGUGUGGCUUAUCCAGAGUGACCAGAGCAUCGUAACACAGGUCUUACUGCCUCAUCGCAGCCCUUGCUCCAUGUGUGGGAGCACAGAACAUUGCCAGCUAAAGAUGUGAGCACCCAAACCUGGCACUGGGGAGAGUGAGUGGAUGGGCUUCUCCAUCCCUGGGGCAUCAUCUGGGAGAUGGGAUUGGCUGGAGGAAUGGGGGGAGCAGUGCAGGGGAAGGGCACCGUUCUGAGAGUGCUGAGCUGGAGUGCUUUGCUCUGCCUGUGGGCUGCUCAGCAAAGGAGGAUGUGGAAUCAGAGCAGUUAUAGAGAGUCACAAAAUCAUCAGAGGAAGGGAUACUGGAGAGAUGCAGAGAGCUGAGCCCGCUCAGUCCAUCAGGAAGAUGGAGAGGUAGCUUCAUUUGUUCCCAUAAGAACUGUCAAGGCAGGGAAACACUAAAGAAGGUACUAAAGAGCUGCUGAGCACUGAGAGGAGAGCAAAGCGAGCUGGCAGGGAGCGAAGGCAGCAGGGCUGGGGAUGCGAGGAUGCCCACUGUGUGUGCGGGCAGUGUUCAGUGGAGCUGAUGGACCCACCCCGCUGGGAUCGUGGGCGCUGGGAAGGGCC